CACACCGCCCGUCACACCAUGGGAGCGGGUUCUGCCAGAAGUAGUUAGCCUAACCGCAAGGAGGGCGCCGACCACGGUGAGAUUCAUGACUGGGGUG
rnacentral:rRNA from 1 species